GCUGUGAUGGUUCAGUGGUUGAGCGUCGACCUAUGAAGUAGAAGCUCAUGGUUCGAUUCCCAUUCAGGGCA
rfam:Myotis brandtii contig190990, whole genome shotgun sequence.